rnacentral:lncRNA from 1 species
UUCAGUUUAGGUUUGCAAAGGAAUUAAUUAGAAUUCGGAUUGGAGUACGUGAGGAAAAUUUCUUGUUGACGGGAUGAUGAUGAUUUAUUUUAUGAGUGGUACUAAAAGUAUUGGAACUGCAGAAAUGGCGGUAUUGGAAUUUAUGAAGUUUUGAGUAUUAACAUUUAGCAGCAUCUAUUGAUAUGAAUUUGGGGAAUACUGCCCUGGUGAUAGAAUUAGAUAUGGUACUAAAACUGUAACACACUGGACCUUUGCAAAUUCCGAGGUUCGAGUGUU